UAAGUACUCCCUCCGUCCAAAAAUACUUGUCAUUGAAAUGGAUAGAAAGUACUUCGCAAAAAACAAAAAGAAAUGGAUAAAAAGAGAUGUAUCUAGAACUAAAAUACAUCUAGAUACAUUCUCUUUUAUCCAUUUUAAUGACAAGUAUUUUCGGACGGAGGGAGUACGUA
rfam:Triticum aestivum genome assembly, contig: Triticum_aestivum_CS42_TGACv1_scaffold_132168_2BL